rnacentral:ncRNA from 1 species
CUCUAGUCCGACUUUGUGAAAUGACUUGAGAGGUGUAGAAUAAGUGGGAGUCGUUUUCAGCGCAAGUGAAAUACGACCACUACUUUUAAUGUUAUUUUACUCAUUCCGUGGGGCAGAGACAGGGCAUUACGCAUAUGUUAAUAUAUAACGCACAUUUCCUCAAAGUAUUGUCAUUGAUGGAAAUGGUCGAGAG